rnacentral:rRNA from 1 species
GACGAACGCUGGCGGCGUGCCUAAUACAUGCAAGUAGAACGCUGAAGAGAGGAGCUUGCUCUUCUUGGAUGAGUUGCGAACGGGUGAGUAACGCGUAGGUAACCUGCCUUGUAGCGGGGGAUAACUAUUGGAAACGAUAGCUAAUACCGCAUAACAAUGGAUGACACAUGUCAUUUAUUUGAAAGGGGCAAUUGCUCCACUACAAGAUGGACCUGCGUUGUAUUAGCUAGUAGGUGAGGUAACGGCUCACCUAGGCGACGAUACAUAGCCGACCUGAGAGGGUGAUCGGCCACACUGGGACUGAGACACGGCCCAGACUCCUACGGGAGGCAGCAGUAGGGAAUCUUCGGCAAUGGGGGCAACCCUGACCGAGCAACGCCGCGUGAGUGAAGAAGGUUUUCGGAUCGUAAAGCUCUGUUGUAAGUCAAGAACGAGUGUGAGAGUGGAAAGUUCACACUGUGACGGUAGCUUACCAGAAAGGGACGGCUAACUACGUGCCAGCAGCCGCGGUAAUACGUAGGUCCCGAGCGUUGUCCGGAUUUAUUGGGCGUAAAGCGGGCGCAGGCGGUUUGAUAAGUCUGAAGUUAAGGCUGUGGCUCAACCAUAGUUCGCUUUGGAAACUGUCAAACUUGAGUGCAGAAGGGGAGAGUGGAAUUCCAUGUGUAGCGGUGAAAUGCGUAGAUAUAUGGAGGAACACCGGUGGCGAAAGCGGCUCUCUGGUCUGUAACUGACGCUGAGGCUCGAAAGCGUGGGGAGCGAACAGGAUUAGAUACCCUGGUAGUCCACGCCGUAAACGAUGAGUGCUAGGUGUUGGAUCCUUUCCGGGAUUCAGUGCCGCAGCUAACGCAUUAAGCACUCCGCCUGGGGAGUACGACCGCAAGGUUGAAACUCAAAGGAAUUGACGGGGGCCCGCACAAGCGGUGGAGCAUGUGGUUUAAUUCGAAGCAACGCGAAGAACCUUACCAGGUCUUGACAUCCCGAUGCUAUUUCUAGAGAUAGAAAGUUACUUCGGUACAUCGGUGACAGGUGGUGCAUGGUUGUCGUCAGCUCGUGUCGUGAGAUGUUGGGUUAAGUCCCGCAACGAGCGCAACCCCUAUUGUUAGUUGCCAUCAUUCAGUUGGGCACUCUAGCGAGACUGCCGGUAAUAAACCGGAGGAAGGUGGGGAUGACGUCAAAUCAUCAUGCCCCUUAUGACCUGGGCUACACACGUGCUACAAUGGUUGGUACAACGAGUUGCGAGUCGGUGACGGCAAGCUAAUCUCUUAAAGCCAAUCUCAGUUCGGAUUGUAGGCUGCAACUCGCCUACAUGAAGUCGGAAUCGCUAGUAAUCGCGGAUCAGCACGCCGCGGUGAAUACGUUCCCGGGCCU